AUUCGCAUUGAAUAUAGUCAAGUUGUAAUGUGUGUGUGUGUGUAUAGGAUCGAGGAGUUUUUGAUAAUACCGCUUUAAUCGAUCGCAUUGUACGUGCGCAUUUCUGUUUUUCCAACGACUCGAUAACGUAAUUUUUAAAAAAUCGCUUUUAUGGCUUUCCAUGUCGUUUCAACUUCACUUCAAAAUGAAAUGAAAUUUUCCAACUAAAUGAAAGACGACCGAAACUUUAUAACAAGGAAUGUUAUAUUAUUUAUCGACCUUCUUUGUUUAAGUUCUUUAUGAGUAUUUGUAGGUUCGAUAGAAGCAAUGAUCGAAGAACAGUUCAGUUCAUUCUACGCUGCCGUAGAGAACGGUUCGAGAUCAGAUUAAGGCGAUCGAGUAUUGUGACCAAUACUAUUACUUUUUUUUUAUAUUUCAUCUAUUAAAUGUUAACAAAACAUGUUAAUAAAAUAAAUUCUACAAAAUUUUAAGUGCUUCUCCGUGUUCGGAAAAUUGUUCGUCAAUUACGAAUAAUGCAGCAAAAUGUAAACAACAGUUGCGGCAAACAUUAAAGGAAGAAUUCGCCACCAUUGCAGAUCAUCAUACGGUACAUACAGUACAGAAGUUAUCACAACGGAAUAAAAAACCUAAUGAAUCAUAUCACGCAUACAUAUAUCAGAUGCUUGAAAUUGCAUAAGCCAACGUAAUUAAAUAUGUUAUCAAAGGUAUUCGAUAGGAUGCUUUAAAUAAAACAAUAUUAAGCUGGGCGAAGACAAUAUAUGAAAUAAAAAAGAGUUAUAUGAUUAUAAAGUUAUAAAUACGAGAUUAUAAAAAAAGAAGGAAAGUUGGGAACAGAACAAUCGAAGUUGGAAGAAAAAAAAUGAACCAAAGGAACGCGAAGGAUACAAAAAGAUGUUUCAACUGCGAGAUUAAGCAUCAUUCGGGCGAUUCCAACCAUGUCAAGGACACAAAGAAUUUAUAAGAAUAUUAAUUAACGAAGCAAAUUAAAAAUGCAUUUUCUCAGCUAUUGUUUCGAAUAACGGAUCAUGGUCAACGACAAAACAUAAGAUAGAAAAACGUUAACUUGAAAGAUCAUUGCACGAUGGCAAAGAAAUAAGAGAUAAGAGAGAAAACGAAAAGGUAAAAAGCGAACAGUUUGAAAGGACGUAAUCGCGAGCAAAGAUGUAAUCGCGAAAAGGACGCGGGUUGCAUGGAGAAGGUCGAGAGAAGGCUACAAUUCGAAUACUACUCGGGAGAUGCAGAGCUUAUGAGAUUACGUGUGGUUCGAACAAACCCGUUUUUGCCCAUCUUACGACGAUCCGUAUAUAUACCUCUCUUCGCCUCUUCUCGAAUCCUCUUUGAGUUCCUUCUGCGUGUGUCAUUUAUGCGUGCAACCCAGACGCCGAGUUAAAAAUAACAGAAGCCAUGGUAUUUAUAGCAAACCACUAGUGGCGCCACGUAUAUAUACGUUAUAAGCUAUUUUCUUUGCUUUCCUUUCCUUU